GCCGAUGUGGCGAAAUCGGCAGACGCAAGGGACUUAAAAUCCCUCGCUGGAAACAGCGUACCGGUUCAAAUCCGGUCAUCGGCACCA
rnacentral:tRNA from 1 species